GAUGAACGCUGACAGAAUGCUUAACACAUGCAAGUCAUUGGCGAAGCUGCGCUUGCGCAGUCUAGCCAAGUCGGACGGGUGAGUAACGCGUAAGGAACUUGCCCUGCAGACAGGGAUAACAGACGGAAACGACUGAUAACACCUGGUAUUGUCAGGCUGGCGCAUGCCGGCCUGAUGAAAGGAGACGCUGCAGGAGAGCCUUGCGUCCUAUUAGCUAGUUGGUGGGGUAACGGCCUACCAAGGCGAUGAUAGGUAGCCGGCCUGAGAGGGUGAACGGCCACAAGGGGACUGAGAUACGGCCCUUACUCCUACGGGAGGCAGCAGUGGGGAAUAUUGGACAAUGGGGGCAACCCUGAUCCAGCAAUUCUGUGUGCACGAAGAAGGUUUUCGGAUUGUAAAGUGCUUUCAGCAGGGAAGAAGAAAGUGACGGUACCUGCAGAAGAAGCGACGGCUAAAUACGU
rnacentral:rRNA from 1 species